UCUUGUAGGAUGGGUUCACCCCCCUGGCCAUAGCCUUGCAGCAGUGUCAUAACCAGGUGGUUUCUCUCCUCCUGGAACAUGACACCAAGGGCAAGGUGAGGCUGCCUGCCCUGCACAUCGCUGCCCGGAAGGAUGACACCAAGGCAGCUGCCCUGCUGCUACAGAAUGACCACAAUGCUGAUGUUCAGAGCAAGAUGAUGGUUAACAGAACUACAGAGAAUGGGAAGAGUGGGUUUACCCCCCUGCACAUCGCUGCUCACUAUGGCAACGUGAAUGUCUCCACUCUCCUGCUCAACCGAGGGGCCGCCAUAGA